rnacentral:rRNA from 1 species
AGAGUUUNAUCCUGGCUCAGAAUGAACGCUGGCGGCGUCCCUUACACAUGCAAGUCGAGCGAGGCGCGGGGGGCANCCCCGCAGUCGAGCGGCGAACGGGUGAGUAACACGUGGAUAACCUGCCCUGAGGCGUGGAACAACCAGGGGAAACUCUGGCUAAUACCGCAUGAUACCGAGAGGUCAAAGGGGGCUCGCAAGGGCUCUCGCCACAGGAGGGGUCCGCGUCCGAUUAGCUAGUUGGUAGGGUAAUGGCCUACCAAGGCGACGAUCGGUAGCCGGCCUGAGAGGGUGAUCGGCCACACUGGAACUGAGACACGGUCCAGACUCCUACGGGAGGCAGCAGUGGGGAAUUUUGCGCAAUGGGCUAACGCCUGACGCAGCAACGCCGCGUGGAGGAUGAAGGUCUUUGGAUUGUAAACUCCUGUCAGCAGGGAAAAAGCGAAUUGGCCUAAUACGCCAGUGAGUUGAUUGUACCUGCAGAGGAAGCCCCGGC